rnacentral:rRNA from 1 species
AGUGAACGCUGGCGGCAGGCCUAACACAUGCAAGUCGAACGGCAGCACAAGAGAGCUUGCUCUCUGGGUGGCGAGUGGCGGACGGGUGAGGAAUACGUCGGAAUCUGCCUAUUUGUGGGGGAUAACGUAGGGAAACUUACGCUAAUACCGCAUACGACCUACGGGUGAAAGCGGAGGACCUUCGGGCUUCGCGCAGAUAGAUGAGCCGACGGCGGAUUAGCUAGUUGGCGGGGUAAAGGCUCACCAAGGCGACGAUCCGUAGCUGGUCUGAGAGGAUGAUCAGCCACACUGGAACGGAGACACGGUCCAGACUCCUACGGGAGGCAGCAGUGGGGAAUAUUGGACAAUGGGCGCAAGCCUGAUCCAGCCAUGCCGCGUGGGUGAAGAAGGCCUUCGGGUUGUAAAGCCCUUUUGUUGAGAAAGAAAAGCAGCCGGUUAAUACCCGGUUGUCAUGACGGUACCCAAAGAAUAAGCACCGGCUAACUUCGUGCCAGCCGCCGCUGUAAAAC